GUUCCUGCGCAACUAUAAUGUCAACAGCUACUCUGCGGAACAGAGUUGUCUUUUUUUAUAUGCAUGGGGGCUACCCCAAUUAAUAUAUAUAAAUAUAUAAACAGUGUUGGCUACCUCAUCCUCCUCCUCCACCGCCACGGUCACCGCCUCCUCAACCUAUGGGUCACUAAUAUAAACUAGGUACACAUUAGCAGAGGCUUGUGAAGGCCUUUUCUUCAUGCAUUCUCCAUGACAUUAUAGUUGCGCAGAAACUUUGUUGACUCUAGAGAACCUCGGGCAAAUCGCACAUCCCCGUGGCGGCGACUCUGCAUGCGGAUGUCAUCCAUAUCAACUUUCGAUGUCAGUUUGUGCGCCUACCAUGGUGACCACAGGUAACGGGGAAUCAGGGUUCCAUUCCGUACAGGGACCCUGAGAAACGGCUACCACAUGCAAGGAAGG